rnacentral:rRNA from 1 species
GUUCCGCCAGGAGCACAGCUGAGUAGCUAUGUCUGGAAGGGAUAAGUGCUGAAGGCAUCUAAGCACGAAGCCCCCCUCAAGAUAAGAUUUCCCACCUAAAUAGGUUAAGACUCCAAGUAGACCACUUGGUUGAUAGGCCAUAAGUAUAAGAGUAGCAAUACUCUUAGCCAAAUGGUACUAAUAAGUCGAGGGCUUGACCAGAU